rnacentral:rRNA from 1 species
CGUGAGCGGCGGACGGGUGGGUAACGCGUGGGUAACCUGCCUCAUACAGGGGGAUAACAGUUGGAAACGGCUGCUAAUACCGCAUAAGCGCACAGUACCGCAUGGUACGGUGUGAAAAACUCCGGUGGUAUGAGAUGGACCCGCGUCUGAUUAGGUAGUUGGUGGGGUAACGGCCUACCAAGCCGACGAUCAGUAGCCGACCUGAGAGGGUGACCGGCCACAUUGGGACUGAGACACGGCCCAA